rnacentral:rRNA from 1 species
UACGAAGGGGGCUAGCGUUGUUCGGAUUCAUUGGGCGUAAAGGGUGCGUAGGCGGCGCGGUAAGUCGGGUGUGAAAUCUUGGAGCUUAACUCCGAAACUGCAUUCGAUACUGCCGUGCUUGAGGACUGGAGAGGAGACUGGAAUUUACGGUGUAGCGGUGAAAUGCGUAGAUAUCGUAAGGAAGACCAGUGGCGAAGGCGGCUCACUGGCCCGGUACUGACGCUGAGGUGCGAAAGCGUGGGGAGCAAACAGG